CUCGGCGCCACCAUAGCCAUGCUUCUCGUCCUUGGUGCAUCCGACCCAUGUCUUCUCGGUCGUAUGCAGCCAUUGCCCAACAUAUAUUUGGAUCCUUGAGAAAAAUUAUGUUUUUUGGAUUUUGUAUUACUCAUUUUUUUCUAAAACAAAUUUUGGUUAAAAUAUGGACCAUUUUGUAAAUAACUGAUAACCUAUUUUAUAACGUUAAAAAAUUUAUCGCGCAUUUUUAUGUAAAAAGUAAAAUAUAGAAAAUUUUGCUCUUCUUAUAAACUUUUAACAAAAACAUUUGGACCAUUGCCCCUCUGCCCUCUCUAUUAGGGUC